GUUACCACACAUUGAAGAUGAAAGGCAGUCGUGCAGCAUCCUGCUCCUGGAUAUUGUACUUGAUGGCGGUUUCUUUCGCCCUGGAAGUCACGGAGUCCCCCGCCUCGCAGUCCGUUCUGAUCGGUCAGACAGCGCAGUUUUCGUGCACACUCUCCAGAGGCAAAGCUCGUGUUUUCUACUGGAGAAGAAUCCCGCUGUUUCCUAACGGCACUUGGGGACAUGAAGAGGACGUGAUCGGUGGCAUCCAGCAGCAAUCUAACUCGUCCAGUGUCCUGGUUAUUAAAAACGUGUCCGUUUCUGAUGCGGGGAAGUACAUCUGUACCGCUUUCCCAUCUUGCCCUGGAAAUAGUCAGUUAGUUGUAGGGCGGGGAGCAGAAUUAUCCGUUAAAGCCAUCCCGAAGCUGGAGAUUCUCUCGGAUUCAACACCUAACAAGCUUGAUCACCUUACCCUGACUUGCAGGGCUAUGGAUUUCUACCCCCCUAACGUCACUCUCCUCUGGGACCACUCUCUCCCUGGGGUGCCUCACACCGCACAACAAGAAAGCCCCACAUCCCCGAACAACGGGAAGUUCAGCAGCAGCUCUGUCCUGCACGUGAACACCUCGCUGUGGAGGCCGGAGAAAGAAAUCGGAUGCCUGGUGAAUCACAGCUCGGUGACACAGCUGCUGAAAAAAUACAUUAAGAGACCAGUGGCUCUCAAAGUAAAUCUCACCUCAGAAGUAUCCUUCGCCAGCCCCGACUUCCUCACCCUAACUUGCUCAGCGGUUGGAUUCUACCCCUCGAAUGUCACCCUGUCCUGGGAUCAUUCACUCCCCACUAAUCUCUCAUACAAACACCAGGAGAUGCCCACACUCCUACAAGAUGGUACCUACAGCAGCAGCUCCAGCUUGCAAGUAAAUAGCUCAGUUUGGAUCCCGGGCACGGAGAUCGGCUGUGAGGUGAAUCACAGCUCUCUGAUACAACCACUGAGGGAAACAAUCAGGAGAGGAGUGAUCAUGCUGACUGUACAAUGGACAAGCGAUUUCAGAAAUCUGACUUGCAGUGCUGUGGGAUUCUACCCUCCUAGUGUAUCUCUGACAUGGCACCACUCCCUUCUGGGGAUACCCAACACUACCGAGCUAGAAGACCCCAAACUCCUCCAGGAUGGCACUUACAGCAGAAGCACAACUAUGCAGUUUAAUGCGUCUCUGUGGAGUCCGGGUAUUGAGAUUGGGUGUGAGGCAAACCACAGCUCUCUGAUACAGCCAUUGAGGAAGAACCUGACGAGUGAAGAGCAGCAAUCGGCCAAAUAUGUCCCCAAAUUAAAUGGAUUCUACCAGAGCAGCCAGUGGUUCCUGCGUAUAUGUCUGCUGUUUUUGGGUUUGAUGUUACUGAUUUUACCAAUAAUUGUGGUUCACUUUAGAACUAACAUGAGGAUGAGAUCUGUCCAGCAAGAACCCUCAAAGGAAGCAGUCGAACUUGAGACCCAAAGGAGGAACCCUCAAAGGAGGAACUUGAGACCCAAAAAAAGGAGGCCAGUCCGAGCGUAA